GGUAUUUGCAAUGAUGAUGAAAUUAAUCCCAAUUCUAUGAGACCUUAUUAAUAAGGUCUUGGAUUAAACUUUGUUUUCAAAACAUAUAUGUACGGGACU